UGGCUCCCACCCCCUGUAACAGCAACUCCAUGUGGAAGUACCACUAGUUCCAGUGGGGCUGCUGUUAUCUGGGGUGGGGGCCA
ensembl:miRNA